UACGAGGGGGCUAGCGUUGUUCGGAAUUACUGGGCGUAAAGGGCGCGUAGGCGGUUUGUUAAGUUGGAUGUGAAACUGUGGGCUCAACCUGCAGCCUGCAUCCAAUACUGAUAGGCUAGAGUUCUGGAGGGGAUAGCGGAAUUCCUGGUGUAGCGGUGAAAUGCGUAGACUAGUCGAGGAGGAACACCGGUGGCGAAGGCGGCUAGUCGUGGACAGAGUCUGACGCUGAGGCGCGAAAGCUAGGGGAGCAAACAGG
rnacentral:rRNA from 1 species